GAUGAAGAACGCAGCGAAACGCGAUAAGUAAUGUGAAUUGCAGAAUCCAGUGAAUCAUCGAAUCUUUGAACGCACAUUGCGCCCGCCAGCAUUCUGGCGGGCAUGCCUGUUCGAGCGUCAUUUCAACCCUCGACCUCCCCUUGGGGAGGUCGGCGUUGGGGACCGGCAGCACACCGCCGGCCCUGAAAUGGAGUGGCGGCCCGUCCGCGGCGACCUCUGCGCAGUAAUACAGCUCGCACCGGGACCCCGACGCGGCCACGCCGUAAAACACCCAACUUCUGAACGUUGACCUCGAAUCAGGUAGGACUACCCGCUGAACUUAAGCAUAUCAAUAAGCGGAGG
rnacentral:misc_RNA from 1 species